CUGCCAGACCCCAGUGGGUUCCUGCCUGCCCACACCUAGAACUAAAAUAUAACUCCAGAUCCCCACAGCUCCAGUUCAGUGCAAGUAUGAGGAAAGACACCACCCAUGGGCAAAGAGAAGAGGUCACCUCACCCAUAGAAGAGUCAACAGAGCAAGAAAAGAGGGGUUUCCUGGAGCUGUGAAUGUAGGCUUCAUCCCUCCAAAACCAUGCGUGGAUGCUGGCCCAUGUGGA